CGUCCAACCUUCUUUCGCACCCGUGCAGUCUGCGACGCGCGGUUGUGGGGUGGCGCAGGCGUGCCGCCGCCGCGGCCAGGAAGCCGCGUCCGGCGCCCCCGAACUGCCGCCCUCGUCUGUUUGCACCGUGUCCCUUGUCUCACCUCCCUACGCGGCCACUAAACGCCGUCGCCACGAAGUUCCGUCGCCUCCGCUCGGAGACCGCUUCCGGAAGAUAGGCAGAGAUUUGUCAUUGCGGGGGCUUCGCCACGCCCCCCGGGUGCAGGACAACUGGUCUAUUUGGAGAUUCGUCGACUACAUCGCUGGAAUUUUCUCCAUCUUUACCAACUCCGGUCGCCAUCAAAUCCAUCCGACGGAGUCGAAGACACACGUCCUCUCUCAAUCCCAUCAUGUGAUCCAUGUGAAUUAGUUGUUGGGCUCUGCAACUACAUCAUGUCGAUCGGUGAUGCUGGGUGUUUGGAGAAGGAAUGGGUGCGAAGUUCGACACCCCAUCCAAUGGGCUUAAGUGUGAGAAAACUUCAGGGCAUACCUAACAUAGAGCAGUCUAUGGGCAAUGAUUGUUUCAACAUGGCCGUGUGUAUACUGGCAUGCGAUGAGGUCUUAUUGUCCAUAGUCCAUCCUAUACACUUCAUGGAUAUACAAUUUUGUUCCAUGAUGUUAGGAUUCAACACGAGAUAUAAAGUUUCACGUGAAGCCAAAUAUCCAGAUGCUGGGAACACUGUUUGAUAGUUGGCCUAGGGUAGACAAUAACAUCUCAUCGUGCAACUAGGUGCUAUGUGAUUGGCUCAAGAUGAUUCAGCUAUCAUCAUAUUUUCUAGAAUGGUGUGUAGUAUAGAAAUGUGCCGACAGUUAACUUGCAGCUUCGAUCUGCCCUUGGGUGAUACAAUUAACCAGUUACGGUCAUGGAAAGCAGAAUUACGCUGAAGCAGCUGUGUGGCGAUGGAGGAUUUCCCAUGGCUGCAAGCUGAGAAGGGGUCCGAUUCUGGGAGAAUCUUGCAAAAGAACUGGCCCAUGAUCCUUUUACACAUUGAUAUGCUGACGUGAUAGUGAUUACAUGAUCCGGGAACUAAGAUGAUUGACAGCUCUGGAGCACACAUCUGAUCAGCAGAGCAUACAGGUGCAACCGUGCAAGCACACUGUGACCAAAUACUGCUCCAUUUGGAGCUGGAUGCAAAGGUGUAAGUGGAGCAAAACGAGGAUCCAAGAAGGGCUUUAGUGGAGCGUCAGAGGCCAAGGCGAGGCUACAUCUCAUAAUGAGCUCGACCUUUUCACCCAGGGGCGCGCUCGGCUGGCCCAUUACCUUUGUUCUAGACGUGGCUUCCGGAGUUUUUCUCUCAGAUUUUUUUUGGUUUUUUUACUUUCCUUUGGUUUUCUUCCCGUUUCUCUUUUCUUUCUGUUUUCUUUUGGUUUUAUAGUAUUUUUCUUUUUCCUCUUUCCCUUUAAAUUCAUAAACAUAACUAUUAUGUACUCCCUUCGUUUUUAAAUAUAAGUCUUUUUAGACAUUUCAAAUGGACUACAACAUACGGAUGUAUGUAGACAUAUUUUAGAGUGUAGAUUCACUCAUUUUGCUCCGUAUGUAGCCAUUUGUUGAAAUCUCUAAAAAGACUUAUAUUUGGGAACGGAAGGAGUAUACAUGAACACAUAUGAUGAACAUUUUGUAUCAUGUAUAUGUUUUUCUUUUAAAUCCAUGAUUUCUUGAAAAAAAUACGUCAACUUGUUUAAUACAUGAAUAUUUUUUAAACACGUGAUGAACAAUUUAUUGCACAUAUGAACAUUCUUAUGUACGUACAUGGACAUUCUUACGAACGUACAUGCAUGUUUUGACAACUUAUUUUUUUAUCACAUUAUACAAACAAAAAAAUCUCAGGGUUAAUGGCUCAAGCCAGGGUUGGCACAUAUAAGAGGGCCUUAUGGCGUUUGCCUUACUGUUCAAUGCAUAACACAUCAAAUAGGAGGACUCGAUAAGUGUCUCCAUCCAUGAAGGUGUAGCCCUUUGCUUGCCAAGUGAUCCUUUUCGCGGUUGCGUCGUCCUCUGGGUGAACAAGACAUUCUUCUUGAGGUAACCCUAGAUUUCUCAGGUCCAUGAAGGCUCUUGCAUAUGGUCAGGGAGUACAUGGUGUUUGUCGGGCGGCGUGAUCUACUCGGGGCUUCCCUCGGCGGGCAUCCAUGAAGUGGACCCCACCCAGUCGCCUUUGCCGGCGAGAGGGGACCUAUUCGCCCUGUUUGGGAAUUCAGAUGAGUGGGGGAGUGCUCCGCUCGGAAAAGGCUCUUCCCUAGUCACUGGCAUUCGGGUUGACUUGGAUCUCAGGGAUCUCAAGGGUGUCUGAUAAAUACCGGCGAACACGGCGUGCUCACCGGGUGGUGCCCUCCAAGCUGAGUGUGCUGCAGGAAGCGUCUCAUCGAAGUGAUCCGCAAACCUUGUCACUCAAACGAUGUAUGUAGAAAAAAACGCUACUUCUCUAAUAUAAGAGAGUCCAGAUCACUGCGUAGUAAAUAUGCAUUAGAGGGUGCACUGGUUUCUUUGGGACCGGCUACAGAUCAAUCAACUGAAAACAUAAUUUGGGUCAGUCGACUGACCCAAAGUUGUUUCAGUCGAUUGAGCCUGCCCUCGACGCACUUGCACCACACUUUUCAUUCUCGGAAACCUGGGCCAAGUCCCGACGAUGGCCUGCACAUCCAUACACUUCUUCCGUCACCCUGUGCCUUCUCAGCCAUCUGUUUCCAUCACACAUCCCUAAAAAAAAAAUCUGUUUCCAUCACACACACACACAUGUUAUCAGACACAUGCAUGGCUGUCUGAAUAAAUUGGGACGAACGUAGCAACAUAAAAAAA